GGCGUGGUGGCGGGCGCCUGUGAUCCCAGCUACUCGGGAGGCUGAGGCAGGAGAAUCGCUUGAACCGGGGAGGCGGAGGUGGCAGUGAGC
rnacentral:miRNA from 1 species